rnacentral:rRNA from 1 species
AUUGAACGCUGGCGGCAGGCCUAACACAUGCAAGUCGAACGAGUGGCGGACGGGUGAGUAAUGUCUGGGAAACUGCCUGACGGAGGGGGAUGACUACUGGAAACCGUAGCUAAUACCGCAUACCAUCGGAUGUGCCCCGUUGGGAUUAGCUAGUGGGUGGGGUAAAGGCGCAACAAGGCUACGAUCCCUAGCUGGUCUGAGAGGAUGUUCGGCCACACUGGAACUGAGACACGGUCCAGACUCCUACGGGAGGCAGCAGUAGGGAAUAUUGCACAAUGGGCGCAAGCCUGAUGCAGCCAUGCAGCGUGUAUGAAGAAGGCCUUCGGGUUGUAAAGUACUUUCAGCGGGGAGGCGUUACCCGCAGAAGAAGCACCGGCUAACUCCGUGCCAGCAGCCGCGGUAAUUC